CCAAGAAGCGGUAGUUACACUACAAAUAUAAACGUUUGUUAUAUAAAGAGAUCCUUGCGUGAGGUGAUCAAGAACACGCACUUUUGGCGGCGUGGUUUUCACCAAUCAGUGGAAGUCCUUAUCAAAAAAACAAAGCAAAGGAUGGACUGGUCCAGACCAGACCAGUAUAGUAAUUCUCUUUUUCUCUUUUUUCAAUAAAUUUUUUUAUAAAAAUCACAUUUUCGUUAUUAUUUUUUCACGCGAUUCUCACUUUAGGCUCUAUAUUGGACAAGGACACUAAGAACACCAACACAGACUUAAGAUUUCAAAAUGGAAAACCAAAAAUCACAUACUCAGAAACAAAAACACAAACCCAGCAACUGAUUUUUCUUGUCAACCAAACACAAAAACAACAAACCUUGAAUAGGGCUUAAUGGUUUAAAGGUUCUUCUCAUUCUGUAAUCGUCAGAGAGAGAAAAGUGACCCAGAAAGAAGAUCGUAGAGAGAGAGAGAGAGAGAGAGACGCACAUAUUUUCUCAAGCACUUUGAAAUGGCUUCAAGACCCAUUGUUCCACAACAACCCAGAGGAGAGGCAGGAGUUGGAGGGGCUAAGCAACAACUGAAGAAGAAUGUUGCAGCCGAAGCAAGAAACCGCAGAGCACUUGGAGAUAUUGGGAAUUUGGCAACGGUUAGAGGAAUUUCUGGCACGCAGAGACGAUAAGAACACAAAAUAGGAACACAAAAUCAAAUUCCAGAAAUCCAUUAAACCCCAUUCAAGGUUUGUUGUUUUUGUGUUUGGUUGACAAGAAAAAUCAGUUGCUGGGUUUGUGUUUGUUGCAUUUGUGUUUGGUUUGGUUGAUCUGUUGCUGGGUUUGUGUUUGUGUUUCUAGGUUUGUGAUUUUUGGUUUUCAAUUUUGAGAUCUUAAGUCUGGGUUGGUGGUCUUGUUCAAGAUAAUUUUAAAUCUUAAUUCAUGUAAAUCUUGAUUUUUAUUUCUGUUUUGAUUUUUUUUAGUUAGUUAAAAUUAAUAAAUUAAUUUUUUAAAUUUAGAUACUGAUGGGAUAUUUUUUAAUACCAAAUAACAUUUAUUAUUAUUAUUAUUUUAAUGGUCAUGUCAGUUUUUGGUGGGUGAACAGUGUACUCUGUUUGUCACAUGUGCAUUUUUUGUCUUUGUUGUAAUGACAGGGACAGAAACGAGACCUUCUUUUUAAGGAUAGGGACUAAACAAAAUCAUAAACUUGUAAUACUAUUAUGCAUGUUAUUAGUACUCCUCUCGUGGAUCCUAAAUAAGUAUGGGAACUACAUAGAGGAAAAAUACCAUAGUUAUUAAAGUUGAUGACUUGACAUCUAGAUUGGUUCAGGUGUUUAAAUGAAUCGUUUCUUAACAAGACUUGGUAAAACCCAACGGGUUUGUAAUGAUCUGUGUAACCCGGAUGAAUUUUUAUCAUGCAGCCGAGCUUGUGAAAACGUAAAGAAUAAAUAAAUAAAGAAGCCCUUCUAUGUUUGUUUACCUACUUUCAAAGCCCCAACCUAUCAAAAGACCAUUCUACUACUGUGAAAUCUUAGUUUUGAAUUAUAAUGGGUAGUUUAAUUUAGACAUAUGCCUUUUUUUUUCUUUUUUUUUUCAAUUUAUGUUUUGAUUUGUCAAAAUUAUAUACAUACGGUUUGACUGUUGACCUAUUAGUUGAACGUGUGACCCAACUGUAAUCUGGCUCAUAAACCGGGUAAAUAUUAGAACCGGGCCUAUCAACUAUGGAAAAUACAUAUAUUUAUAUUGCAUGAGUGAAUAAUUAUUGCUCAAAGACACGGGUCUCCUCUCCCCCUGUGUAUGUUAAAAAUACUUAGUAUUAAAAAAAAAAAAAAAAAAAAAA